AGGAGCUUGCUCCUCCGGANUAGUGGCGAACGGGUGAGUAAUACGUGAGCAAUGUGCCCUUGACUCUGGGAUAAGCGCUGGAAACGGCGUCUAAUACCGGAUACGACCCUCGGAGGCAUCUCCUGAUGGUGGAAAGAACUUCGGUCAAGGAUCAGCUCACGGCCUAUCAGCUAGUUGGUGAGGUAACGGCUCACCAAGGCGACGACGGGUAGCCGGCCUGAGAGGGUGACCGGCCACACUGGGACUGAGACACGGCCCAGACUCCUACGGGAGGCAGCAGUGGGGAAUAUUGCACAAUGGGCGCAAGCCUGAUGCAGCAACGCCGCGUGAGGGACGACGGCCUUCGGGUUGUAAACCUCUUUUAGCAGGGAAGAAGCGAAAGUGACGGUACCUGCAGAAAAAGCACCGGCUAACUACGUGCCAGCAGCCGCGGUAAUACGUAGGGUGCAAGCGUUGUCCGGAAUUAUUGGGCGUAAAGAGCUCGUAGGCGGUCUGUCACGUCUGNUGUGAAAACCCGAGGCUCAACCUCGGGCUUGCAGUGGGUACGG
rnacentral:rRNA from 1 species